UUCUUUCUUAGAUUUUCAACCCAUGAAAGUGCAGCCCAUGCCAUUGUUUCGGUGAACGGUACUACGAUUGAAGGACAUGUGGUUAAAUGCUAUUGGGGUAAAGAAUCUCCUGAUAUGACUAAAAACUUCCAACAGGUGUCACCACCCCAAUAAACUUAGACAAUGAUAAAUAACAGAGUCCUAUUCACAUAAGGGUUGACUAUAGUCAGUGGGGCCAAUGGAGCCAAGUGUAUGGAAACCCACAACAGUAUGGACAGUAUAUGGCAAAUGGGUGGCAAGUACCGCCUUAUGGAGUAUACGGGCAACCAUGGAAUCAACAAGGAUUUGGAGUAGAUCAAUCACCUUCUGCUGCUUGGAUGGGUGGAUUUGGUGCUCAGCCUCCCCAAGGACAAGCUCCUCCCCCUGUAAUACCUCCUCCUAACCAAGCCGGAUAUGGUAUGGCAAGUUACCAAACACAGUGAGCCGGGACUCUAAAAAAAAAUUGUAAUUCAUGAUAGGCUUCGAUUUCCUGUGACACUCUGAAGACAUGAAAGUAGACAUCGGAAAAUGAAAAUAUUUAUUUUAAAAAUUGAAAUGUUUGGAACCUUUAGCACAGAUUUGCUUUGGUGAAGGACACAUGUCUUCUAGUUCUGCCUUUUUAAGUUUUUGUUCAUGAUGGAUAUGAACAUGAUUUUUCUUUGUGUACAAAAACUAAAAUAAAGUCAAUAAAGACAAUUCUGACUACAAAUUUUGAUAUAAUAGGAAAAAUGGCUAAUACAUUUUGAUUCUUAGAUACUAUUCCAUUUUUAUCUUGCUGUUCAGUAUUUUAACUCACUGUGUUUUUAAAAGAGCAAAAAAGGGAGGAUCGUGAAAACCUGGGAAUCACAUAUAAGUUCAUCCUGAAUCCUGAUACUCCCCUCCCCUUCCC
rnacentral:sRNA from 1 species